AGAGAUCGGGCGGUUCCCCCGUUCGGGGGGACGAGGGUGGACAGGUGGUGCAUGGUUGUCGUCAGCUCGUGUCGUGAGAUGUUGGGUUAAGUCCCGCAACGAGCGCAACCCUCGACCUUAGUUGCCAGCAUUCAGUUGGGCACUCUAAGGUGACUGCCGGCUAAAAGUCGGAGGAAGGUGGGGAUGACGUCAAAUCAUCAUGCCCCUUAUGACCUGGGCUACACACGUGCUACAAUGGGCGGUACAAAGGGUCGCGAACCCGCGAGGGGGAGCCAAUCCCAAAAAGCCAUUCUCAGUUCGGAUUGGAGUCUGCAACUCGACUCCAUGAAGUCGGAAUCGCUAGUAAUCGCGAAUCAGCAUGUCGCGGUGAAUGCGUUCCCGGGCCUU
rnacentral:rRNA from 1 species